rnacentral:lncRNA from 1 species
AAAGGAAGACUAUAUAAUCCAAUUACAUAAACAAGCACGAAAAUUUGCGUUUAAGCUAAAAUCUCAGUCAGGUACUUUUAAGCUUUUAAAAAAAACAAAUUAGCCUUCUGAAUUUUAACAAGUGCUAAAGAAUGAAAUAUACAAGAAAAUUGAACCUUCGUAGACUACCUGAACUGGUUACAAGAAUGAUAAUAAUAAACACGGUGAUUAUACAAACUUUAAAUUUAUGAACAUUUUCAGAUAUCAGUAAAGUAAAAUUAUAUGCGCUAUGUUGAGUAAGUUUCAUUUGGGGGAAAGAGACAUUGCAUUCCUAAGUUACAUUUCUUUUAACUCUUUCAAAAAUUACAGCAUCGCCAGAAGUUACAUUUCUUUUAACUCUUUCAAAAAUUACAGCAUCGCCAGAAGCCUAUCUAGGUACUUGCGUACGUUGGUGAUCAUAAGAAUGAUGUAAGGGUGCUCCGGUUGUAUCUUGAGAAUGUGAGUCAACCCCAGCUUGCAUCUGA